UGACGAGUGGCGGACGGGUGAGUAAUGUCUGGGAAACUGCCUGAUGGAGGGGGAUAACUACUGGAAACGGUAGCUAAUACCGCAUAACGUCGCAAGACCAAAGAGGGGGACCUUCGGGCCUCUUGCCAUCGGAUGUGCCCAGAUGGGAUUAGCUAGUAGGUGGGGUAAAGGCUCACCUAGGCGACGAUCCCUAGCUGGUCUGAGAGGAUGACCAGCCACACUGGAACUGAGACACGGUCCAGACUCCUACGGGAGGCAGCAGUGGGGAAUAUUGCACAAUGGGCGCAAGCCUGAUGCAGCCAUGCCGCGUGUAUGAAGAAGGCCUUCGGGUUGUAAAGUACUUUCAGCGGGGAGGAAGGGAGUAAAGUUAAUACCUUUGCUCAUUGACGUUACCCGCAGAAGAAGCACCGGCUAACUCCGUGCCAGCAGCCGCGGUAAUACGGAGGGUGCAAGCGUUAAUCGGAAUUACUGGGCGUAAAGCGCACGCAGGCGGUUUGUUAAGUCAGAUGUGAAAUCCCCGGGCUCAACCUGGGAACUGCAUCUGAUACUGGCAAGCUUGAGUCUCGUAGAGGGGGGUAGAAUUCCAGGUGUAGCGGUGAAAUGCGUAGAGAUCUGGAGGAAUAC
rnacentral:rRNA from 1 species